AUGAGGUUGACAGCGGACAGCAAGGCUCAUAAAUAAAGCGCCCACAGCUGUAGGAUAGUGUUUAGGCUCUGCUUUUAAUCUACCGGCGAGGAACGCGAUACGGACGAGCCCAUUCUCGUAUUCACAAUCGUAUAUUAGUCACUAAUUUUUUCACAGCAGAAAAACCGGUCGAGGGAGGUGGACGGGUGCGAUACUCUGCUACGUAGCAGUCUAGCCACACAUUCUUAUAUACGUACACAAAUACACACACGGGCUACUGCCGCGCUUGCCAGGAUCUCAAUGAGGGGGAAUGACCGAGAGUGACCUCGAAGGACACGCUAUGUUUUAGCGAGUCUUUCCAUUUUAAAACCCAGACGGCUUUUCAGUAAAAAUGAGGGCAAACAUUUUGUUUGGCGUUUUAGCGUAAGUACGGCAUUCGCUGCUCGCGCGGCGGUCUCACAAGCCUGCCAGCGGGGCUAGUGUUAGCCAGCUAAGCUAAACUAGCUAAAGCCUACACCGGCUGUUUCCCGCAGAUGCUAGGCUAGGCUAGCGCUGCCAUGGAUAAAGCGAAGUCAUUGGUGGACAAGAAGGGAGCGUCGGGACCUUUUCAUGUCAACAACGUACAGAGUCCAAGAGGGUUGAAUGGCCUCGUCGUCGUAGCCGCUAACGGCAGCUGCUCCACCAGCAAUGCAUUCGGCUUAAGCACAGGACCCAGCAGCAGCACGUUUGAAAUGCAUCACCUGCAGCGUGGGGAGGAGAAGGACUGCAACGGGUCCCCGGCAAAGAGAAGCCGGUUGCGAAGGAGGACGGAGUCGGUGAAACGGAACAGACCUCCUUUCCCCUGGUUUGGAAUGGACAUCGGUGGCACCUUGGUUAAGCUGGUGUACUUUGAGCCAGUCGACAUCACUGCAGAAGAAGAACAAGAAGAAGUUGAAAACCUCAAAUCUAUCCGCCGCUACCUCACCUCAAACGUGGCCUAUGGUAAAACAGGUGUCCGCGACGUCCACCUGGAACUGAGGAACCUGACCAUGUGUGGCCGGACAGGCAACCUGCACUUUAUCCGCUUCCCGACCCAGGCCAUGCCCCGGUUCAUCCAGAUGGGACGAGACAAGAACUUCUCCAGCCUGCACACGACGCUGUGCGCCACGGGAGGCGGCGCCUACAAGUUUGAGAACGACUUCAGAACAAUGGCUGACCUGGAGCUGCUGAAGCUGGAUGAGCUGGACUGCCUCAUCCGUGGCCUGCUGUAUAUCGACCGGGUCGGUUUCAACGGACACCCGGAGUGCUACUACUUCCAGAACCCUUCGGACCCCAACAGCUGCGUGAAAAAGCCCUGCAACCUGGACAACCACUUCCCAAUGCUGCUGGUCAACAUCGGCUCUGGGGUCUCCAUACUGGCGGUCUACUCAGAGAACAACUACAAACGGGUAACCGGGACAAGCCUGGGAGGUGGGACGUUCCUCGGUCUCUGCUGCCUCCUGACGGGCUGCGAGACGUUCGAGGAGGCGCUGGAGAUGGCCAGCAAGGGCGACUCCACAAACGUGGACAAGCUGGUGAAAGACAUCUACGGCGGGGACUACGAGCGCUUCGGCCUGCAGGGCUCGGCCGUCGCCUCCAGUUUUGGUCACAUGAUGUGCAAAGAGAAGCGAGACAGCAUCAGUAAGGAAGACCUGGCCAGAGCCACACUAAUCACCAUCACCAAUAACAUAGGAUCUAUAGCACGCAUGUGUGCUGUCAACGAGAAAAUUGAGCGGGUUGUGUUUGUUGGGAACUUCCUUCGGAUCAACACCGUGUCCACAAAGCUGCUAGCCUACGCCAUGGACUUCUGGUCAAAAGGGCAGCUACGAGCCCUCUUUCUGGAGCAUGAGGGUUACUUUGGAGCGGUCGGAGCGCUGAUGGAGCUGCUGAAGACGUCGGAGGACCUGUGAAGGAAGUUCGCCGGCCUCUCCCGUUGGCACCGCGACGUCCUCGACUCUAAAUGCUGUGACGUCAUUGUUGGCAGAUGACACUACUGAGAGGUCCCAAUCAGAGACCUCUAAAGGAACACUAAGAAAGACUCAAGAUGCUGAGAAAAAGCCAUUUUAAUAAUUUAACUCUUGUAAAUAAUGAUAGCCUCUAACGAUUGUUCCCAGAGCUCCUUCUAUCAUAGAGUUUUAAUAUUGUGAUCUUUUAAUUUAUGGUUUCCUGUUGGUUCCUGCAAUCAGGAACCACAGAGACAGAGUAUUUUAGUAACCUGGGCUUUUACUGGGACGGGGGAGGGAGGGAGGGGGUGUUUGUGUGUCUAGCUACUGUAGCAUUACAUCCUGGGGGACAGAAGUACAUCAGGUGACUAUUUUUGCAGCUUCUGUUCAGAAGAGGAUGUCUGCACACAAAAGAAGCCACUCUUCACCGAGCAACUUUUUUUUUUCCCCCUUUUUCUUUUCAACCGCAUGUGGCUCAAGAAAGUAGGUUUGCUCACCUGUUUUGUUGCUCAAAGAGUCGCCCACCAUGCUACUGUCUUCGAAGGAGUGCACUGAAGCCAAAUCCUGUUGAGAUUCGUCUGCAACCUUCUCGUCUAACGGAAAGCAGAUAAGCUGCUUUUUUUUUUUUUUUUUUUUUUUUUUUUUUUUUUCCCCCCCGUGUCGUUUUGUCCUGCUGCACAUGGCCUUUGCUUUCUUGGUUCGUCCUUUCUCCGUCUGCCUACUUGCAAGCAAAACUGAAACUGUCGUAUUGCCAAGCAUGCGUUACCCAGCCUCAUGAGGUCAGUCCUAGGUGACGGGACCAAAGAUUUGCUUUCUUCCAGAUGAUUUGAACACGUUAUUUUUGAUUUUUCUCAUUUUCCUCAACCUCUGUCUUCUCUUUCUUUCGCCUUUUUUUUUGGUUAAAGGAAAUCUUCCUGCUGAUUUAGAGAUACUCAUUAGGGAUCCAUCACUUGCAACAGAAUGGAAACGAGCUCCUUAUCCCGGAUGGUUAAUCACCUUUACUGCUCCUCAUCUGCCUUUGCCUUGAUGUCACAUUACAACAUGUAGUUAUUUUUUUGAGAAGAUAUGCUCUUCUAUGUGAUAAAGAUGCUAUUUUUACUUCCAGCUUCCUGAAUGAUUGUACAAAAGUUUAGAUUUUUAUAUCGGUCUAAACCAGUCCCGAGUCUGUGUAAGAGAUGUUGAGAAUCCCCGACGUUUUCUUUUUUUUUUUUUUUUUUUUGCUAUUUGUUUUUGGAUGUAAGUGUAGUGAUGCAUAUUGAAUAAUGUUUGUGGUGUAAUUCUAAAGGUUUCUUAUUGUGGAGCAUUGGGUCCAUUUCCAGCCGGGACCACUUCUUGGUAAGAAAAAAAUAAAAUAAAAUAAGGAAGCGUCAGCCUGAGCUGCAAACGAUCAGCAAUGGAGAAAUCUAAACUAAAAAGCUAUGCAGUAACUAACUCAUCUGUUAAAUCUCUUCUUUAGCAAACAGAGUUGUCUUGCUUGUAAAUACUUCUUUUCUUUUCUUUUUUUUUUUUUUUUUUUUUGGUUUGGUUUUAAAUAUGCAACCCGGUUAGUGUUUCCUCUCUGUGAAAUCCAGCGUGAAACUCGGUGGUUUCUGUCCUGCUGAUUCUGCCGCUGACUUUCGCUCAUUGGUUGUUGUAGAAGCAGUGAUGCGUGCAGUGAAUCAUCACAAAGUUCAGCGGGUUCGAGUUGCUGUUGAACUUUAAGUCACGACGGAACGACGCGGAUCUUUGUAGAUGAACUCGAUCAAAGUGGUGAAGGGGACAGUUUUUUUUUUUUUUUUUUUAUUGUAUUUACUCGUUUCGCCCGUCUCUCGUAUUCUCCAGCGUUUUCCUGAUGUGGUCAAACAUCCCGUUGCUUCAGCAUGUCCAGCCUUUAAACUGUCCCUUUUUGAGUGCUCAAACGGCGGGACAGAUCUGAUCACCUUUCUGUAUCUGAUUGUACAGAGAUUUGUAUAUAAUAAUAUAAAAAAAAAAAGAAGAAGAAAAAAUAAUAAUGAUAAUAUGACGUAUUAUGACACCAGCAAUCUGUCUGUUGAUGACGUGGUUUUAACCGUUUCAGAGCCGCCUGGCUUUUCCAAGCGCAACUCGGCACUUUUUGUGCUGAAAUCCAGAACGCAGACGGAACAUGCAUCGAACGACAGCAGAACAUUUCCAAGAAGCUGUGAAAAAAUUCAGCAGCUCAAUUUUUACUCUACAUGUUAGGCGAUGUCGCUGUUUGGGGUAUUUUCUGUGCACUUAACGGUUGUUUAUAUUCAUGUGCAGAGGCUUUUAAACUCCACUAGGAACAGAGUGGGAGCUGUAACGUCUAAUCGGCCUUUUCCUUCGAGCUGCUCCGGUGCUUUUGCUCUCGCUUCUCGCUUUCCGUCUGCUGGAUUUCUUCAGUGCUAGUUGUUCGCCUCGGCCCUCCUGAGGGAAGGUUUGGGAAACCCAGUGCUGGUUGUUGGGAGUCAGUUCUGCUGCUGCUUUCACCUUUUUGUUUAAACAAUAAUAAUAAAAACAAAGGAUUUGAUUCCGGGGCGGGGGGGAUAAACGACAGUUUUAAAAGAAGAGGCUCCUUGCCUUUGUGCAAUGUGUAUGUACUGAUGUGAAGAGAUUUUUUUUUUCUAACAAAGAAUUAAACAAACUGGAUUUGAAAAAAUAAA